rnacentral:lncRNA from 1 species
AGACACAGGAUCCAGCCUUGCUUGAUGUCAUUACUCCUAGACUUUCACGUACAAGAGCCAAAAAAUUGUCUUUUCUUCCCCCUUAACCCAGGGCUCCUGCAACCAAAAGAACACUUGACUGUGGCAUCUUUCCAGCCUCCUGGUAAGUUUUCUGAGAUUGGGCACUAUGUCCUGUCCAUUUCUAUUCCCUCUCUGGUUUUUACACAGCAUGGUAGCAAGGGUUGGGGGUCAAAUGUCUUGAGCCAGUGUUCCAUGAGGCUCCAUUUCCUUGGUCCAGGAUAUGCCACGAUGUUUGUAACAUGGAGCUAACUUUGCAGUUGCCAACCUAGAGUGGAGUUUUCUCCUGGAGGGUGAGGGUGAGGAUGUUGUUGAGGAAAGGGGAGCUGGCUGUGGUGGGAAGAGUGUGGGUGUGGGAGACAGACCCCUAGGUGGCCUCCAUGACUCUCACCCCUGUGCUGACCCUUUGGUGUGGUCCUCUACCUCUCCAGAGUAGAGGGUGGGUGGGAGCUAUUUUAACAAUAGAAUAUGGCAAAGGUGAGGGUGUGUCACUCCCAUGAUCAUGCUAGAUGGAUUUGUAUAUGUGCAUGUAUGUGUGUAUACGUGUGCAUGUAUGUGUGUAUACGUGUGCAUGUACAUGUGACUCUGUCCUGCUAGCAUACACUAACAAGAGAUUCUCCUUGCUGGCUCAAUGAAGUUAGCAGCUAGGUAAGGUGCCCCCAUGGCAAGGAGCUGCGGGCAGCCUCAAGAAACUGGGUGGCCUCUUAGGACCUGAGGGCAGCCUCCAACAAGCAAGCAGCAAACCUCUGGGGCCUUCUGUUCUACAACUGCAAGGAAAUAAAUUCUGCCAACAGCCUGAAUGAGCACGGAAGUGAACUCUUUCUCAGUCGAGCCUCUGAAUGAGAACACAGUUCAACUCAUGCCUUGACUGCAGCUUGUGAGAGUCUGAGAAGAGGACCAGGAGCAACUCUAGUUGACUCUCCACUCCCACGCUGCAGGAAUUGACGGCGCACAGGGAACAGUUUCUACUGCUGUCCUUCCCGUUACCUCCUCCAAUGGGGCUUCAGUCACCACCUCUCUGGAAGGUGAUGAUGGUCGGCAGCUCCAUAUCGCCAGCCGUGACUCUGCCCUGAAAUCUAGCCCAAGGGAGCCAACUGCCUGUUUUGUCAGGUAACACCGACAAAAAUAGCAGCCAUUUGUUGAGCUCACACUAUGUGUCAAGGACUGUGCUCAGUAGAUUCUAUUACUGAUCUAUUUUAUAGAUGAGGAAACUGAGGCUGAGAGAUCAAGGAGGUGGCCAAGGUUACAGAGCUAGUGAGAUGGGGAGCAGGAGUCAAACUGUGGGUUGUCUGACUUCACUGCCCAGGCUUCUCAUGCUGUGCUAGAGCUGACUCUAGUGAGCUGACCUCAGCCCUCCCGUGCCAAGAUCCUUGGCCUGGUUCCUCUGACUUCAUCAACCUCUGGCCCCUGUGUCCUCUCUCUUACAGUACUCACCCCUCAUCCUGCCCUGCCCAGCCCCUGCCUGCUGCUCUGGCCUGACCAACUUGCUCUCAGUGCCCUGAGUGCCAGCAAGGCCUCUCUCCUCUGGCCUUUGUGUAAGCAGAUCUUUCUACCUAGAACACUGUUGCCCUCUUUUUGCCUGGCUUCUUCCUUCAGGACUCUGCUUAGAUGGCACCUCCUCCAGGAAGCCUUCCCUGAUAUUCCCCUCCCUAGGAUUGGGUACCCUAGGGCCAUAUCUCCCAGGGAGAGGUGAGUCUUGGGGAGGCUCAACCCUCCCAAGUGCUCAGCUUACCACAGCUGCCAAGUCCUUGCCCUGGGAUGGUGGAGACUGAUGGGCAGGAGGCAGAAGGCGGAAGUCCAGCCCUUACGGCCUGUCCAAGGUCUAUACGUUACAUCUGCCUCAGACAGCCUUCUGGCUCUGGCUCCUGCAGGUGCCACAACUCCCUGCAGCCUGCUGUACCUGGGAAGUGCCAGUGGGCUGGACCGGAUCAGCAUCAGUCACUAGGGGAAGUCAGUCUCUCUCUAGUAUUCACCUGGCUGAGCCUGGAUGGGAGAUCCCUGGAAAAACUGCC